GACAAACAAUGGUACAAGUGCAAAGACCUCUUGAUGGUUCACGGAAUAAACGGAGGCAAAAUUGUUUUUGGGUUCAUGCAGGUCAGUGCAAAUUGUAUAAACCUACAACAUAAUUUGAUAAUAUAUUGAUACUGCUUUGUUUUUCUUAGUUUAUUUUAGAUAAUUUGUAAGCAGACCUACAGGCGAAAUUGGCCGGUUACAGAAGAUGUGUUUGCCAAGACAACUGUGUAGCAGAAAGAAGUUGUUCAUCAGCAUCCUGCUAACAUUGAUGACUACAGUUCUUGUAAUAGUUAUAUUUAAGAUGAACAAGACAACUUUCAAUCAGGAAUUAAAGAAUGACUUAUUGGGAAAUAUUAGAAAAAAGAGAGACAAUGAACAAGUAUUAAAAGGUCAUGUUUGUUUCGAGACAAAAGAUGGCUAUCUACAAGUAUGCAAUGUGCGAAUUAAUUUCACAGGAGAUAGUGUUAUUAAUUUUAACAUUACAAUAGGUCCUAAUGAUUUAUUUAGUUGGACCAAAAAGUUCAUUUGUACAAAAUAAUGUAAAAACGGGAUCAUGGGAACGUAACAAAUUAAAAAAUGCAUAUAUCAUGAUUGUAGUUAAUGGAGAGGAAAUGGUAAAUUGGUCAGGUGACAUGUAUGUGAAGAUUGCACAAACUUCAGUAACAACACGAGGGCGAAGUGGUGAGGUACUUUAUACAAUUCAAUAUUGGCUUAUACAUUUAGAGCCAGAAUUCCUCUUAAAAAACAAUACUCCAGGUAUACCUUGGAUAUGGGAAAUACGAGCAUCUAGUGAAUCGUUGACAGUAAGAGUUAACAUGAUGUUUCUAGUAACUGAUUAUGUUAUGCAAGAUAUUAUAACGAAGCCUAGUCUUGUAGAUAUCCAGGAAGGAAAGGAAAGACUUAGAUUAACAUGUAGUACACAUAUAAGUUUACCCCCUGAGUCUGUAAUGACAUGGAAAAGGGAAGGAAUGUUUUUGGGUAGUAUGUCACAUACAACGCCAAAGGUUAUUCACAGAGGUGUACUAGAAAAGGUGGAUUGGUUGGAAGAAAUGUUUGUUUUCUAUUUAGACAAUCCUACCUACAGUGAUAGUGGAAACUAUCAAUGUUGUAUAAUGUUAAGAAAUCAUCGAGAGAUGUGG